rnacentral:lncRNA from 1 species
GAGGGCUUGCUGUAGCUGCUCUGAGCAGAGAGACUCAGAGAGAGGUUACCACCACAAACUAAAUGAUCUGCACUUGGAGUAGUGGUCACCUCACAAGCUUCUUAAGGACUAUCCAACUCUCUGAGGAUGGAAACCAUGACUUGUCCCUGUACCCAAAGGGCAGCAAAAUGGAGCACCUACCUAGACAAGUGACUCAAUGAAUUGUGGUGAAUGCUUAUAUAAGAGCUAACAGGCUGUGGGUCAAGAACUAUGAGAGCCCAUCAUUACAGAUGAGAAUGAACACUCUUUGUCUUUGCAUAUUAUCUGAGUCUGGGGUCUUCCUUCAGCGAUUUUCAGACCCUUGCAAACCCAAGGAUGUUUUGAACGAUGCUGUGGAUAUUGUGUGGUCUCUCUGUCCAGGACCACGGCACCAUGCUCCAGCCUCUGGGUGUGCUGUCUGCUAAGAUUCCCAGCUGGCUUUUCUCUAGGUCUCUCCACUAGAAGAAGGUUCCAAUCCCUCCCCAGGGAUUGCACCCAAGACUGGUCUGUGCAAGAAUGAAAGCAUCAAUCCCGAUGGAAGAAGACCGAGUUCCAUCUCAGGGUCGUUCAGCUGAAGUGUAUC